AUACGUCGCUCGUUUCGUGGAUUCGAGCGCUCUAGUGGAGUGUAUUAAUAUUGAGAUGUUAUACCUAAUGGGCGUGCGUCAUAUUCGGCAAGUUCGCGGCGGUCAAGGCCUGCGUGGGUCGCACUACCCGGAUCUCCGGAAAAACCCCGACAUCGAAUAAAGACCUGCCCAGAACGGUUACCAUUUCCCGCUUUAUCUUAUCCCUCGGGUCUACACGUGGGAGGUUGUAACGCUACAUGUGAACCAACGCAUCUGCAUCGGCCAUUGACCCAACACUAUAAAGACUGUGAGAAGGCCGUGACGUCAGUUUCGCCAAAACACCAGCGCUUCUUUAUAGACAAAGGUUGAGAAGAUCAGUCCACUGACAAGGCAGGGCAGGCAGGUAGAAAAUCGAUUGUUAUUCGACCGACAAAUAAUACCAUCUCGCAGACAAUGGGAUCAUUCUCAGCUAUUGCACAAAGCCGUCUAUAAGCACGUCAACGUCUGUGUGGAAUUACGAGCUCGCAAGGAAUAACACAAAUUAGGUGGAAACUCCGAAAUUGCAGCCCCGGGCGCGUAAAUUGCAAUUAGCCGUACAAACAUGCAAUUGACAGUAUCGAGUCGGCUUCGUGGAGCGUUGGUAUGAAGAGCAUUGGGCUCGUCCUACGGGUGAACGAGGCGCGAUCCGUGAAUAAUAAAUGAAACGAGAGCCGGAUCGCGCACCGAUCAGACAGAAGAAAGUAUGGCGGGGCGGGAUGAUAGCGACGGAGGCUGCGACCGGCCGGACCGGUUAUGCUAAACCCCAUUGUGGUCACUUUUUAUACCCCGCCCCCCACCGCACCACACUGACACCCCCGCCGCCCCUCAUACAAGCCACAAAGGCGAUAUUUGAUUGGCGAAAAAUAAUUUUUAAAUUAUACCAACAUUUUUGUCGUCCUAAUAUUAAAAUUUCCGGUAAUUUGAAAUUAAACGGGUCAAGCAUUACAGGUUUCUAAACACUUUUUAACUUAAAAGAAUAAUAAAUUGU